rnacentral:rRNA from 1 species
UACGUAGGGUGCGAGCGUUGUCCGGAAUUAUUGGGCGUAAAGAGCUCGUAGGUGGCCAACUAAGUCAGACGUGAAAUCCCUCGGCUUAACCGGGGAACUGCGUCUGAUACUGGAUGGCUUGAGUUCGGGAGAGGGAUGCGGAAUUCCAGGUGUAGCGGUGAAAUGCGUAGAUAUCUGGAGGAACACCGGUGGCGAAGGCGGCAUCCUGGACCGACACUGACACUGAGGAGCGAAAGCCAGGGGAGCAAACGGG